rnacentral:rRNA from 1 species
UACGAAGGGGGCUAGCGUUGUUCGGAAUUACUGGGCGUAAAGGGCGCGUAGGCGGCUGUGCAAGUCAGGUGUGAAAGCCCUGGGCUCAACCCAGGAUGUGCACUUGAUACUGCGCGGCUAGAGUGUCGGAGAGGAUGGUGGAAUUCCCAGUGUAGAGGUGAAAUUCGUAGAUAUUGGGAAGAACACCGGUGGCGAAGGCGACCAGCUGGACGACAACUGACGCUGAGGCGCGAAAGCGUGGGGAGCAAACAGG